UGUACAGUUAGCUAUGUGACCAGAGGUGUUCUCACGAUCUACGAUUUUGUGCAGUAAUAUAAAAGGGACACCUCUGGCUCUGCGCCUCAGUUAAUACUAUCAACUCCGCAUUCACGUCUACAUAUACGUUUACAGCAGUCGAGUGACAAACUUCGAUCAAAUCGUUUAAAGUUAAAAUGUCAUCGCGAACGUGUAAACAUGAUGCUGAUGCAUUUUGUUAUAUAUGUGGUCAGUUUAUAAAUGUUCGAGACACAAAAUUUAAACUGAAGACAUCUCAGGUUCUCUGUGAAGCGUACGAAGCUUAUUUUAAUUUUCCUGUUCGCAAUCAAGACAAGUCAUGGGUCCCACAUGUGGCUUGUAGUAGUUGUAAAAGAUCUUUGGAAGGUUGGUAUCGAGGAGAGAAAAGAUUUAGGAAAUUUGCAGUACCAAGAAUCUGGCGAGAACCGAAAGACCACGUUCAUGACUGUUACUUUUGCGUUGUAAAUCCAAAUAAAAGACGUAGCGGAAACAAUGGAAAACCUCUUGAAUAUCCUAAUCUUGAGUCUUCUUCUGCUCCAAUUGCACACGACCUGACACGACCAAUUCCUUCACCACCAAAAAAAUUAUCUCCGAAAAGUAGCUCAUCUCUUAGUUCCAUUGAAAUCACACCCAAAAAGCAAGUUGGAUCAGUUUUAAAGCAGCAGUAACAGGAUUCUUAGGAAAUAACAAAGCUAAAAACUACGAAAAAUUAGUUGAAGACAUGUUGAAAAAUUUUAAGGCCAUGGGUUGCAGGAUGUCAUUGAAAGUACAUAUGCUACAUGCGCACAUAGAUAAGUUUAAAAAUAACAUGGGGGCAUAUUCCGAAGAGCAAGGAGAACGUUUUCAUCAGGGCAUCAAGAACUUCGAACAACGAUAUCAAGGCCAAUAUAACGAAAAUAUGAUGGGAGAUUAUAUCUGGGGUUUAUUGAGAGAAAGCACUUAUGAUCACAAAAGAAAGAGCAAAAAUGUACACUUUUAAACUAUAUUUCACUUUUUUAUAAGUUAUUUUAAUAAUAAAAUUUCAUGAAAAUGAUAAAUUAGGUUAUUUGUAUAGUUCUAUCCUUAAUUAAACAUAAAAAUCCCAAAUUUUGAAAAAUAUUGUUAAAUCUGAAUUCUGAGUACAGAAGCAAACUUUUUUAUGUCAUAUAUUUUUUUUUUGUGUAGUUAUGACCUAAAUUAUCGAAAUUAAACCUUUAAACGAAAAGGCAAAUUUUGUGUUGACCUGUGUAAUCUUUACUUUUAAUACAUUUUUGAGAUUUAAACUCCCUGCAUAUUUAUUUAUUUUAUUUUUCUGACUCUAUAAAGAUUGAUUUUUGCAUUCACUCAUCACUCAACCAGGUAAUAAAUAAGUAAAUUACUUGCAUUUAAUGACCAAACAGUUACUGACCGCUCGAGAAAUGUCAUUAAAAACUCGUGGACACAGAUACCAGUCUAGAAUGCUGAAAGUUACGAUUAUGUUUGGGUCGGGUCUGGUUAUUGCGAUGGAAAAAUAUUAUUUGCCGAUUAUUUUAUGUUUUAUACUUUCCGUCAAUCUCUUUUUUUAUUACUUACUUAAUAUUGGAUUUUUUUAUUAUUGGCGAGAAAAUAAAAAUUCUGAACAUAUCACACAACAAAA